AUUUGGAGGUGCAGCGGGUAACACUGUUGCCUCACAGCAAGAAGGUCCUGGGUUCAAAUCCCGGCCAGUG
rnacentral:tRNA from 1 species